rnacentral:tRNA from 1 species
GCAGAAGUACCCAAGAGGCCGAAGGGGCUCCCCUGCUAAGGGAGUAGGCCGGGAAACCGGCGCGAGGGUUCAAAUCCCUCCUUCUGCGCCA